AUACCCUGUAGCUCCGGGCUUUUG
rnacentral:miRNA from 11 species